rnacentral:rRNA from 1 species
UACAGAGGUCCCAAGCGUUGUUCGGAUUCAUUGGGCGUAAAGGGUGCGUAGGUGGUGCUGUAAGUCAGGUGUGAAAUCUCGGGGCUCAACCCCGAAACUGCACUUGAUACUGCAGUGCUCGAGGACUGGAGAGGAGAUCGGAAUUCAUGGUGUAGCGGUGAAAUGCGUAGAUAUCAUGAGGAAGACCAGUGGCGAAGGCAGAUCUCUGGACAGUUCCUGACGCUGAGGCACGAAAGCGAGGGUAGCAAACGGG